GUGCUUGCUUCAGCGGCACAUGCACUAAAAAUUGGAAGGUUGCAGGGAAGAUUAGCAUGACCCCUGUGCAAGGACAACAAGCAAAUUGGUGAAGCAUUCCAUAUUUUU